rnacentral:rRNA from 1 species
GAAGCGGGAAGAGCUCAAGCUUAAAAUCUCCGUGCAAGUUUUGUGCGGCGAAUUGUAGUCUAUAGAGGCGUGGUCAGCGUGGGCGCUUGGGGCAAGUUCCUUGGAAGAGGACAGCAUGGAGGGUGAUACUCCCGUUCAUCCCUGAGUGGCUCGUGCGUACGACCCGUUUUCUUUGAGUCGCGUUGUUUGGGAAUGCAGCGCAAAGUAGGUGGUAAAUUCCAUCUAAAGCUAAAUAUUGGUGCGAGACCGAUAGCGAACAAGUACCGUGAGGGAAAGAUGAAAAGAACUUUGAAAAGAGAGUUAAAGAGUACCUGAAACUGCUGAAAGGGAACCGAAUCGUUUCCAGUGUCUAUAAUCUGUGGCAUAUUUCAUUGGCGAGCGUUUGCGUGCGUGUGCUGUGGCAGUGGCUUUUUUGGCUGCGCCUGGUGUGUGUGGUGUGAGUGUUUGCUGGUGCCCUGUGCUGCGGUGGGACGUCAAGGUCAGUUCGUAUGCUGCGGGAAAUGGCUGCCGAGGAGGUAGGGCUUACGCUCCGCGUUUGUCUGUUAUAUCUUGGUGGACGAGUCGUCGCGGUUGGGACUGAGGUGCCUACAACGUGCUUUUGAGUGGGUUUGUGUCUCCGUGUGCGCCGUGUGCGGAUAGCUUGCUAUGCGUGUGUGGUUGUGUGUGGAUUGAUGCGGGCCUUAACUUGUCGCCGUUUCGGG